GGUUCGCUCUGCGAUGCAGGGUUAGGGCUGGGGCAGGGCAGCUGCCAGACCUGGUUGUUUUCCGGCUCCCAUGUAAAUGUGGGAAGAGUAGAAAAGAAGCAAGCCAGUUUAGGUGUUACUGCAUUUGGUUCGUUUUUGCCCGCCUCCCUGAAAGCUAAACACUUGAGAUGACGGGAUAGCAGCAGAGAGACGGUUUUGAUCACAAUGUAGCGGUGUGAGGAGGUGAAAGCGUGAGUCUCAAAUCUACUUCCCCCAAAAUGGGAACUCAGGAGCAUUUAUGGGGUAGAGGGGUAAGGUGGUCCAAAAUGUGGAGGUAGGUGAUUGGACGUGAGGUAAUUGAUGUCAGACCCCAUGCCUCUUCACAGGACACGUGCUCACAAAAUGGUGGCAUUAGCGUGAUCUUUGGGUGCAGUUUUUAGCUGCUUGAUGUCAAAAGGCCGCCUGUGGGACAUCUGUGCAGGCCCAGUUGAUGAGUUGGUGGUCUCAACCACCCUGGAGUGGACAGGGGUUCUAAUUCCUGGAAAACUACUCAUGCACCCAUUACCAUGGUGAACCAGGCUCCAGGGAGAUGUUAUCUAUAGGAACCUAGUGGGAGUCAGAUAGCCUGUUGCCUAAACAGUAUAAAGAUGGGUGGGUUAAACAGCUAAAAGUUAUAAUCAGUAAUUGCAAAAAGGAAAAAAACCUUUAGUUUCUAGCUACUUAAUCAUCAAUGUCUAACUGCUGGUUUCAAUUCCCCUAUCCUUUGGUAUUCCUCAUCCUUGAGGGAUUCAGGGCCACAAGCCAUCUAGUUACUUUGUGUUGAAUUGGGGCAUAGAUCUGGAUUAGAGGUAUGAAACCGUUUAGCAAUCAUUUGGAAAUAUUCUUUUGUUCCUGGCUUCAUGUUGACAGUUUGUAUUAUUAGAAUUUUGUACUUCGCUUUACAGUUUUGGGACCAAAUCUAAAGGCAUAUUUUAUAAUGAAGUGUCCAACCAGAAGGAUAAGUAUAGACAACCUAAAUUUUAACAGUCCCUGAAAAAGAGACCUAAUCCCAGUGAGGCCUCCAUCUGAUGAUCUCCAGGUGGGAGAAGACAUCUGGUCUCAGUUCCUGAUAGUCUUUUGUUUUCCUGGAUAUGCCUCAGAGACUGGAACAAUGCCCUAUCCCCUGAUCUUUCAGUUAUCAUUGAUGAUGGCUAUAAGCACAUACUCUCUGCCUGGGGGUCAUCACAUUCCUAAGGAACUCAAAAGAGCAAAGUUUAUCAACUUAUAGCAGCUGGGAGGGUCCAUAAAAUCUACAGAGCACAGCUUAUUCAAAGUUACCAUAUGGUUUCUUUUCUACAAUAUGGCUUCCCUUAUGUCUACCUUGUGUCGAGCCCAUAUCAUGGGGAUAUUUUGCAAGGGGAGGGGAGAGAAAGGUAGGAAUGCUGUCCUCUCUUAAACAUCUUUUCUGCAUUGAGUGGGAGAGGUAUUUUUGUUAUUUUUUUAACCAAAUAUUGAACAUAUGUUCUACAUGUUAUGUUGUGUUUAUAAAGCCCAGCAAGCUUAAAAUGCUGUGUGAUACCUAUAGUAGUCCCCUCUUAUUGGGGGAGAGAGGGGCAGAGGGGGGAUGAUACUAGCCUUAAUAUCAGUUCCCUUACAUUAAACCCAGCAUAUGGGUUAAAACUAAAAGCUCUCAUCCCCUUCCCCUGCCUCUCCAAAUUACAUUCAUAGAUAAAUACUGGAUUUUUAAACUUUUGUAUCCCUGAACUUCACAAGGCAAAUAGAAGUUACAAAUUGUUGGAGCCCAGGUGGCCUCAUGCUAACAUUUUAGCUAGUUAUGGGUGCUUUGAAGUUUUAUUACAGGGAAACUGACAUCCAGAGAAUAUCAAGAAGCUGAAGCUUCCCAGACCCCAAUUCCUCGGCUUCCUGGCACCAGAAUCCACCAUCCACCAUGAAGGCAGACAACCAAGCAUACCCACCUAUGGGUUCCCUCAUCUUGCCAUCCUUCUCCCUGCAAACAGCCUCACAAGGCCAAACACAAGCUGGUGGGAAAGCCCUGACCUGCAAAGAAGAAACUCAAUCAAGAACAAAGAUUUGCUUACUGGAAUAACAACUUUUUGAAUUUUAUGCCAUGUCAGUCACCUCUUCACUUCUUAUUGGUGCCCUGGAAUAGUGAGGCACAAUAACAACAGACAAAGCAAGGCCGCUCUUGUUCUAUACUCGCCGACACAUCCUCACGUCAUUCAAGCACUAAGUCACUUUCACACAGAAAAGCAAGUGACAUCUGCCAAAAUAAUUAAAAUAAAAAUGGACUAUUUGAACAUACCAAGGAAAAAGAGAAAAACUUCAUGAUACUAUCUUGAGAAGCCAACAAUGGGGACGUUAAACCUGACGUGGCUUUGUAGAACCAGAGGAAAGCCAAGUGAACACUGAACUAGUCUUAUUUUAACGCGGAACUUGUUCUUUCCUGUCAUUUCUUUCUGUCAAAUGAUUUGAAUUUGAAUAAAUCAUA